GUCAGCUCCAUCGGGAAGGCGCGUUGAUGGUCCUUCUUGGGUUUGUUUGUUAGGGGAGUGCAUGCGCAAUCGGCCGGAAGAAGAGGGUGCGGGGUGGCGGGGAGGAGCUAAGGAGGGCCGCCGCUCGCGUGGCUCCUUCACUACUUAGGGAAGCGCUUCUUCGGUUGCGGCUCUCUCCGCUAGUCCUUGUCGUUCGCCCUCGACUGCUUGCGCUGUUCUCCAUAACUCUCCCUGUAACCCUGUAAUGUCGUUCUCCUUUUCUCUGACCAACGACUUUAGUUUUCCUGACGUUUUUGACCGUUACUCCGCCGUUGAUUUUAAGACCGGGCAGUUGACUAGUCCAAUUCUGUCUUUUAUAGAUGAAAUGUUCCAUCGGCUCGAGUCUAAGCACCGUAACGCUGUGUGUGUGUCCGCUACGUCCGGUUGUGAAGUCAGAGACGACCGUACGUCUCACGCUCAUUUCGCUACCCUCGAUACUUGUUCGUUUACCUAGGGCGGUUCGUUUACUUCCAUUACGUUCUCAAGGUUUUCGUCAGUCGUGUUUACCUAUACUGCUUGCUCUACUACAGACUGAGUUAGCUGUUACAGAAUCUGCUACUAGUCCGACUCCUACUUUGACUUCUCGAACGAUUGGUCCACGAGCUGCUCUAACCACAACUGCAACGGAGUGUCAAUAGGGGCCGAGGGUUUCCUUCUUAACGACCUUUCUUCCAAGUCCGACUACUCUCAAGCCUUAACCUCCUCGAGUUCGUCUCCGACCGACGAGACUUUUUAGGUAUUUCACUGAGGGGAAACGUUGGGAGAGAGGUGCGUCUCACGGAUCCGAAGUUUAAGAACAACCCCUGGACUUUCUGUAAAACGUAAACACUUAUAACCUACCCCCUACCAAAUGAUCUUUCACUCCCCGUCUACUGCGGAGGUCUCAAACUGGAAUUCCCUCAGGACAUUUUUCGAACUAACGAACCGAUAAUGACAUCGGUACGUCCGACCUUGACUACUCAAAUACGAAGCUACCUCAAUAAACAAACCCAUCAAUGUCACGAAUCACAUUUUUCAGCUCUAUAAAGUAUAUCAUAGACAGUCCCGGGAGGGGGAUCGGGUACACCCGAACGGAAACCUGUAGUGAACCCGGACCGGGCCGACCCUUAGGAGACCGGCUACGUCGAUGUUUAUGAACCCGUUUUCGUUGCUUGUUGGAUAGGUCACCUAGUGCCUGGUUGGGCUGCCGCCGAUGGGAGAAAAGCCUGCCCCGAACGGACGAGGGCAGGGCACGAGGGUAGGCAUGAGGGGAAGCGAUUAAGAAAUAGAUUGCCGACGCGGUCAAAAGGAGGGAGCGCACAGAAAAAAGACCCUUUUUUUUGUGUGCUUCGAGAGCAUAAAGGCAAACGGGGUUAUACAUAAGCAAGGAGGAAAAAGCGGAAGGGACGGCUGUCAGCUGGCAGACCUCGCCUCCGUAGCUCACCUAGACGAUGGCGGGGCAUAGCAGCAGCGCCGGAGGUCCUCCAGGCGGCCGCACUUUCCUCCUCUCGCCGUUCGGACUCAACCCGACUUCGAAGACAGUGUCGAUACCGGGGCGCGGGCAGGGUCUAACGCCGAAGAGGGCAGCGUUCUGGCCGAGGGGCAGAACUAAGCAGGAGCGCGAUUUCCGGUCCAGAACCUCAACGAUCGUCGGUACCACCUCGAGCCCAGCCCUAUCACCUCCACCACCACCACCGACAACACGGCGGUAACUUCUGGUGCCGCCGCCACCGUCCCGUCUCCGGCGCCGCUCGCUGCUCCCGCCGGCGGUAGGUCGCCCAGAAGCCCCGGGGCUGUGGUAAGUGCGUCGACGGCUGGAGCGGACGACGCGCGGUACCUACUCGGGUGUUAAGUUGAUUCACUUGUUUGAUGAGGAAUCUAGCUACGUACGUUUCAGUAUACCAACCUAACUAGGAGCAGGUCCACUGUUACCGCGAGGUAAUGGUAUCAGUAGCUGAUGACCAGACAAACAGUCCAAUCUGUUUGUUUAGAUACUACAACCAUUAUCAUGUCAAAUAUGUACUACGUACUGUCUAUUAUGAUAAAGAUAUAAAUAG
rnacentral:rRNA from 1 species